rnacentral:rRNA from 1 species
GUACACACCGCCCGUCACACCAUGGGAGUUGGUUUCACCCGAAGAUGGUGCGCUAACCUGCUUGCAGGAGGCAGCCAGCYACGGUGGGAUCAGCGACKGKGGUGAAGUCGUAACAAGGUAGCCGUAGGUGAACCUGCAGAAGGAUCA